GUGCAGCAGGCGCGAAUAUUCCUCAAUGCCCGCAAGGGUGAAGGAGCGACGCCGCGUGCAGGAAGACGCACCUCGGUGUGUAAACUGCUUUUAUCAGGAAAGAAACUUCGGUUGACGGUACCUGAUGAAUAAGGACCUCCUAAUUUCGUGCCAGCAGGAGCGGUAAUACGAAAGGUCCAAGCGUUAUCCGGUUUUAUUGGGCGUAAAGCGUCCGCAGGCGGUCAGAAAAGUUUUUAGUCAAAUCCCGGGGGCCUAACCCCGGCAAGGCUAAAAAAACUCUACUGACUAGAGGGUGGGAAAGGCGAGUGGAAUGGCUGGUGUAGGAGUAAAAUCCGUUAAUAUCAGCUGGAACACCAAAGGCGAAGGCAGCUCGCUGGAACACACCUGACGCUCAGGGACGAAAGCGUGGGUAGCGAAGGGGAUUAGAUACCCCUGUAGU
rnacentral:rRNA from 1 species